GGGGAAGCGGGUGGGGGUGGGAGGGACCAGAGGAUGGCUGGUGUUUGUGCUUGAGCAUUACUAAUAAUGUGCAGAUCUUAGAAACGUCCGAGGUGACGUGUCUGUUGCGCGACGCCACGUUUCAGAAGCCAUCGCCAUGAGCGGUCCCCCCCGAAGGGUAAAAACCCCCUGUUUUCAAUCCAACAUUAAAUAGUUUUUAAAAUAUAUUAAGAGGAAAUUACAUUUGCCACGAGCAUAUGUUUAUCCGAUAUUUAAAAUAAUGAGAAGAAAUGAAUCCGUACAUAUGAAGAUGGAUGGAGUCUGAGUAUGUGUUCUUCAUCUGUGUUUGUCGUUUUGUUGGGAUCUGUCUGGAGAAAAGGUUUUGAGACGCCGGCGAGUGCUCGGAUGUGAAACCGACGGUGGUGAACGGCACUGGAUCUUCUGUGUCUUACGUUGCAACACGCGAUAUAUUUCUCAGGUCUUUUAGGUUAUCUCCUUUAAUACAAUAUGCAUAUCAAGACAAGGUAGACGUGGGUUAACAUCAGCGAGGGUUUAUAGUUCGGCCGGCCGGUCGGGGACUGACUGGGAUGAUCCCACUGCUCCAGGAGGGGAACCAGACCCUGACCGGGCCCGGCUUCACCGAUCGUCAGGACCUUGCAGAAGCUGCCUACCACACUAUGGGGGGGGAAAGGACUUGCCAUGGAUUUGCAAACGCUUGUCCACCAAUGAAGAGUCUGUCGGACACUGAAAUCAUAAAUGAAGGACAAACAUAUUUAUGUUUAGCGAAAGGCAACAAAAAAAAAUCAAACACGCAAAUUGUCAAAACCUGCUGUUAUUGACUUAGUAUGUAUCAUUAAUGGCGUCUGUUGUGCUAUCGUGCAUUUGCACCGUGUCAAUGUCAAAAACAAAUGUUGCUGAAAAACGUGACGUGCGGACAAAGAGUGCUCAAAUGUGACGUGCCUGUCGUCUGCUUUUUUUGUUUUGGGUCUCAGCUGUGAUGUCUUGGUUUUACACAAUUUGUUUUUUUUUCUGGGUAACACUCAGGUCAGAGGACGAUUAUCAGUUAUAAAUAUCAGUUUAUCUUUUCAGCUGUUUUACACAGAGACUGUUUAUUCUUCAAAACCGCUCAUUUGACCCAAGUGUUAACAAGGACUCCAAAGAAAUGCUGAAUUGUAUUAUUACCCCAGUUUAAACAGGACACUCAUCUUGGUUGUAGAUUUUAAUGCUGCUUGUAUUUCAUAUGAAUUUUACUAUUAAAAAAUAAAUAUUGACCCAGUUGUCUCCUCUUCAAACUGGAAUUUAUUGAUGGUCCCUAAGUGACAGCCCUGUCAUCCGAUGUGAAAGUCCAACCUAAAACCAACUUCACUGUCUAUGUGAAAUGGCAGGAAAUGGAGUCAGUCAAACUUUUAUUUGUUUAGCCAAUUUCAUCAUAGGGUUCAUCCAGGUGGAACGUCCUCGGACCUUUACCCUCGACUGCAAAAAGGGAAAACUAAUCUCCAAAAAAAGUUAUACCCAAAUUAAUAAACCGCUCCAGCGAGAAAACCAAAUAGAAAAAGCUCAUUGGAAAUCAGGAGUAAAGGACGACAAAAACAAAACUGUGUCUCUUAGUUUGAGUCACAACCAUCUGUUCAAAGUCCUAACUGCCAAGUCAACUUAAUAUUUCCUUCUGGCUGUAUGAAGGAGUCUGAGGAAUCUGAACAGAUCUGCGAAACUGAGAACGGAUGGGACAUGGGCCAAGAAAGAGACCAUCGCACUUUGGUGCUGAUCCAGAUAAAGGAACUGAUACACGUGGUUGUCACCUGAUGGACAAAAACAACCAAGUAUAAUUCAUCAACAAGGAAGAAAAGAGUAUUAAACAGUUUAGUUGCAGACUCAUUUUAAAAGUUCAGUUUGAAGUACCUGUGUCUGAAGAGCAGGAUGGACAGAUGGCUCUCCUGGGACAGCCCAUGGCAGCAGUAGGUGACACAGGCAGCGAUGGAGAGCAGGGAGAUGAGGAGCACCAUGCUGGCCGCGAUCACCACGUUCCUCCUCUUCUCCUCCUCGGCCUGCUGCAGCUCCCACCACUCCAGAUCACUGAACUGACAGCGCUCGCCCAUGUAGCCCAAAGGACAACUGCAAAGACACAGGUUUAAAAUUAAAAGCAUCUCUGCCUCUAAAUAAAGUCUCUACAUCAAAAACUCAGUUCCAUCCCCAGCACCUGUGCUAAAGCGAAGGCUCCAGCUCAAACCCCUGCUGCAGAAGCAGGAUGACGCAGAAACUACCACUCAGAGGAUGAGACAUGGACCAAGAAUAAAUCAAUUACAUCUUAGGGUGGAUUUUAACUUCCCAAGAGUUAUGCAUGUGUGUUGAUGAAAGAAUCAGGCACAUUUAGGGGACUGAUAUCUGGGUAUGUGCAAUGAGAGGCAGCUUGAUUGAAUAUAAGGGGAGUAAUGGGCCUGGCUCUCUACUGAGACCUGUUCUAAUUGGAUUAUUAGUUUUUUCUGUUGCAUAUGCAUAUAGUGUCUGUACAAAGUUUGUUUUUAAAAUACUUCACAUGAAGAUUUAAGUUGUUUUCAAAAUUUGAACUCCAGAAAAUGUCCAGUUUCGAGUCCGUCACACGUUGAAACUUCAUCAACACGCCCACUCACUUGCUGGGAUUCUGACAUGCUGUUUUCUCACCCGGGCACACUCAGACAUUUUCUGGACUUUUUAGAAUGUCUGGACUUCAGUACAUGUCUGAAAGCAGCUCGAGAAAAAUAUUGGAAAUAUAAAGGAGUUUGUUUUGUUGAAAUUUUUGCACAUCUUGAUAACAUCAUAACUGUUUUAAGCACUAUUUGGGGUAAGAGAACAUUUCUCUCCUCCACCCUGCUUUAAUAUAAAACAUGAUUCUGUUAUAAUCAUCACACCCCCACCACUCCUCCUAAUCAGAGCUGUAAACUGAAACUCCCUGACUGGUCCUAGCCUCAUCCCAGUGGUCUCUUUGUACCUGGCUUUGCGAGAGGAUGAACCACCACAAUGGCUGCCGGCUGGACCAUGUUGCCAUGGAUACUCUGGAGUUUCUUCCCAGUCCGCUUGUGCACGCUUGUCAGCUGCCGGUGCUCCCGGUCAGAGAUCCAGAGCCUGUCCUCGAAAACUGCCAGGUCAAAAGGUCGACCUGGACAAAUCAGAGAGUAAGAGGAGCACAACUGAAUUGAAUUGGUGGAACCAAGUGGGAGUCGUUUCCUCUUUGUUCAGCUGUUAACUCAGUGAUGACUGUAAAGGCAAGAUCAUACUGGUUGAAGGGCAAAUUCACAGGAUGAGUCAAGCCAGGGAAUGAACAGUUAGUGGGGGAUUACUGAAUUUAGAAAUAAUUAGAAAGGAAAAGCUUGCACCCCUGAGGUACUCUGGUGAGCACAAAGACUCAAAACUAACUUUCUAAAGAGUUUUAUCAGUAGAAUGUUGUAUUGUAAAAGUGAAAAGACAAUUUAACAAAUGUCUGGUUAUAUUUGGAAACAGAACCUGUAAAUGUUGUUGUCUUGUUUUGUGUCUAUUAACACAGCCAACUUUUAAGGAAUAAAAAUAAUGAUCAAAGAGGGUUUUUUAACGUAAUUUAACAAGAAAACAGGUCAUAAUAUUUCAAGGAUAAAGUCGUUAUUUAAUGAGAAAAGUAGAUAUUUAGAGAAUAAAGUCUUAAUUGAAUAGAGAAAAUCAUAAUGUCCUGAAAAUAAAGUU